UAGUUUGAUCCUGGCUCAGAUUGAACGCUGGCGGCAGGCCUAACACAUGCAAGUCGAACGGUAACAGGAAGCAGCUUGCUGCUUUGCUGACGAGUGGCGGACGGGUGAGUAAUGUCUGGGAAACUGCCUGAUGGAGGGGGAUAACUACUGGAAACGGUGGCUAAUACCGCAUAACGUCGCAAGACCAAAGAGGGGGACCUUCGGGCCUCUUGCCAUCAGAUGUGCCCAGAUGGGAUUAGCUAGUUGGUGAGGUAACGGCUCACCAAGGCGACGAUCCCUAGCUGGUCUGAGAGGAUGACCAGCCACACUGGAACUGAGACACGGUCCAGACUCCUACGGGAGGCAGCAGUGGGGAAUAUUGCACAAUGGGCGCAAGCCUGAUGCAGCCAUGCCGCGUGUAUGAAGAAGGCCUUCGGGUUGUAAAGUACUUUCAGCGGGGAGGAAGGUGUUGUGGUUAAUAACCACAGCAAUUGACGUUACCCGCAGAAGAAGCACCGGCUAACUCCGUGCCAGCAGCCGCGGUAAUACGGAGGGUGCAAGCGUUAAUCGGAAUUACUGGGCGUAAAGCGCACGCAGGCGGUCUGUCAAGUCGGAUGUGAAAUCCCCGGGCUCAACCUGGGAACUGCAUUCGAAACUGGCAGGCUUGAGUCUUGUAGAGGGGGGUAGAAUUCCAGGUGUAGCGGUGAAAUGCGUAGAGAUCUGGAGGAAUACCGGUGGCGAAGGCGGCCCCCUGGACAAAGACUGACGCUCAGGUGCGAAAGCGUGGGGAGCAAACAGGAUUAGAUACCCUGGUAGUCCACGCCGUAAACGAUGUCUACUUGGAGGUUGUGCCCUUGAGGCGUGGCUUCCGGAGCUAACGCGUUAAGUAGACCGCCUGGGGAGUACGGCCGCAAGGUUAAAACUCAAAUGAAUUGACGGGGGCCCGCACAAGCGGUGGAGCAUGUGG
rnacentral:rRNA from 1 species